UACACCUGCAGCAUAUGGAAGUUCCCAGGCUAGGGGUAGAAUCGGAGCUGGAGCUUUGACCUUGGCCACAGCCAGGGCAAAACCAGAUCUGAGCUUGGUGGUGCUAAGAACCCCCCUUUUUUUAAGACAAAUCUUUUUAAAUACUUAGUAGCAUACAUCUGUAAUGGCUUUGACAAUGAGUGAAUUCUUUCUAACCUUGUGCUUGCAUUUAGCAGGGAGAAAUUAGAUAAUCUGGGAGGAUUUGCUGAACUGAAUAGUAUUGACCAUCUAGUCAAAAGUCAGGUCAAGUGAGGGGAAAAAUUGUCAGAGCAGUUUUUUAUUAAAGUGAACAUCAGUUAAUGGAUAAUUAAUUAUUUGAGUUAUAGUAGAGAGAUUUUAUAUAUCUCCAAGGAGGUGGACUAAGGUCAUUCAUAUUCAAAUUUCCUAUGAUUUGAUAAAUGGUUGCCCCUUUUGAUGAAGCCACCUGUUUAAAAAAAAAAAAAAACACUGGCACACAUAGUCUCAGCAUAUUCAACUUGAUUGAACACCUUUAUAGGAAAUGAAAAACAGAUGUGGCUCCUCUCACCUCACUAGGGCUGAAGAAAGUAUUUAAAAAUACAAAGGAAUGGCACUUCCUUCACAUUAAGGAAAAAAGUAAUAUUUUCAAUAACAGAAAAAUGAUUAGUAUUAUAUAAAACUCUUCCUUUCAGUGAAAAUUGAACUCCCAGAUAUAUUAUUCCUAUGAUUUCAAAUUCAUCAUAUUCUAAAUUAGCACCCCCACCCCUCCUAUCCAAAUCAUUGACUGCUUUCAAUCUGUCUGCUCUCUACUAAAGUCAUUAUUUAACUACCACUCAUUUCAUCAAUUCUUGUCUUCUGCCAAAUUUCACUAUCUCUACAGCCUUGUCCAACACAACCCAAACAACUCUCUUAUUAUCUAUGGAAAUCAUAGAACUUGGUCCUACUACUACUCUGCUCCAUUUUCUUGCUCCUCCUGCCCUGACCUCCUACCAACUCCUCCCCUUAACUUUAGAGUCAAGCACAUAACCACCAAAGAAAAAUCAGUCAUAUGUAGGCACUGUGGGCCUCAAUUUUUGACUUCCUCCUUUCUCCCUAUUGAAGUCCAGGGCACAUAGGAGAUGCUCAUUAAAUACUGAUGGUCUGGUAGCUUCUAACAGGAGUAAUUAUAAUAUAGAUUCAACUACAUUCCUCGGAAAACCACAUUCUCUGAAAUGUAACUACAGGAAGCAAAGCCUUGUACUCAGUAGUAUUUAGUGUCUUUAUCCCUUUAAAAAAGUAUUUAAGAGUUCCCAGUAUUUCCUAAGGAAUCAUUGCAGCAUGGUUCAAGGGAGAUAGGAAUAAAAUGUCUUAGUCGGAGCUUCCAAAUUCCUUCCAUCCCCCUCUCAUGGCCAAUGUACCCAUCCUACAGCUGAUGGCUCAUAGCUGAGUCCUUCACUGGGCUCUGCCCUCAGCAGCUGCAGGAAGAUAUCUUGCUCAAGAUUAUACCCCCCUCCCAAGGGGAAGCCCAUAGCCAGUGACUGCCUAAUAUGGGAAUAAGAAAGUCCCUACACUUGACUUAAUUUUGGAAAAAUUUGAAGAGCCUGUAGGAUCUGUAAAGACUAGAGUUGCAAGCAUGCUGCCAUCAGUUUCAGAAGCAAGGAAACCUUCCCUUUCCAGGGAAACCAACGGAACACACGUGUCUUCCCCACAUGUGUUCUUUUGAUGGCAAGAACUUUAACAUCUUUAGCCCAUCCUAAGCACAAUCCUUACAAAAGACAAGGCUCUCAAACAGCAUUUCUUAUUCAUUCACAUGGAAUUAAUCAAUUAAAAUGCAUAUUGAAAGGAGCAAUUCUGCUAAUUUAAUAGGACUGAGGAACAGUAGUUAUCAAGGGCCAGCAUAAGCCACGAUUCCUGCACAAAAAUCAUGUGAGUCAUGUCUAUUGCAGCACCAGAAUUUGAGCAUAUGAGGAUCUUAGCCUGUGCCACAGUGGUUGAAAGGGGCUUCAAACUCAAAAGUUAAAGCUGGGUUGGUAGGGUACUUUGAGAAUACUGAGAAAGCAUUCAAUGUCCAUGGUAAGAUAUGUUAGGAAGGGGAAGGAAAUACUGACAGAGAUCAAAAGUGUUCUGCUAAAGCCCUCUCCAGGUACACCUUGGUGUUCCCACUGACCUCAAAAGUUUUUAAAAGUAUAAAUUCCUGUGCUCCAUUCCUCCAUUGAAUCAGAAUCCUCAGGGCUAAGGAGGUGAGUUUUGACAACAGCUAGAUUAUGCAACUUGUUCUUCUAGUUGAAGUCUAAUGAUCAAGCACUUAAUAUUUAGCUUGUGCCCAAGUAAGUCACAUUCCUUUCCAGUUUAUCUUCAAUGUUUGGCUAUUUCCCAACUUACUAGAAUUUCCAAUAUGGAGUAAUCAGAAAAAGUAAGGAAAAAACAAUCAUCCCUACUGGUGUCUUUUGUUCUACUUAUUAGAAGUAUAGACAAAAUAUUUGAUAAGGAGAGAAUUCAAACUCCACUAAAAUGAGGGUUUUUUCUUAAUUUUAGGAGACUCACUUUUGAUUUCCAGCUAUAAUUCAAAAUUGUUAUAUUUAUUGCUGGUUAACAAGAGAGUUUACAUAUGCUAGGGAUAAACCCUGUUUUUUUUUUUUUAAUUAUUGAACGUAUAUUCUAAAGCAAUAUACUUUUUGUAUGUAAUCUUAAUAUAAAAACAUUAUGAAAUUUCUAUUUCCACCUUGCCAUUACAUUAUGUGUAACACUUUGCUUUUUCCUUUUUUCUCCAACUGCCUUCUCCCACUUCUUCCUCUCAACUGAAUUGCCCCUUUUGGGUUAUUUUGCUAUUGCCAUCACCAUAAAGAGAGAAACUGUAAACAUUCUCAUUGAAGAGUUACAUUUAAACCAUAGCAUUUUUGCUAGGAUGGGUGGCAACUUUCUAACACAACUAAGCAAAGAUAGUUUGAACAAGUCUCAUUGCAGAAUGUUGCCUUAUGCGGUACUUGUAAACGUUGGCCUCUGUAUUUAUGUAGCACCCGGCUAACAGUGGUUUAGUCUUAGGAGGAAAGAAGAAAGGACAUGAAGAUAACCCAUGAUGGAUGUGAGACCAGAAGCUCAACAUGAAGACAUUUGGAAUGAAGAUGGAAUUCAGGAGGAGUCUUUGGGAAAUUCACAAAACUGGGAAUCAAAAUACUCUGGAGAUACAGACUCUUAUUUUGUUCCUUUUCUUUCUAAAUCAUAAAUCUGAGUAGGUAAUUAUAUGUCUUGUUUUCCUUAUGCUCAUCAAACCUCAUUCCAUUGGCUCCUGUCUGCCAGACCUGGAGACUUGGGGCUCCCCCUGAUCUUCUUACCUUCUGUAUGGCACACCCCAUCCUCUGAGCAAAGUAGAAGGUGGGCUUUUUGCUGAAUACACUUGCUCGUGCUUACAAUAGCUUUGUUCCUGAGCUUCCCUCUGCCUGAAAUGUAAUACCUUCUCCCUACCAAUGGGAAUCCCUCAAAGUCUAACACAAAUCCCCCUUCUUUACUAAGCCUCUCCUAAUUCCUCCAAGUACUUGUGUGAUGACCCUUCCUUGAGCCUGUACCAUACUUGACACCUCUCUCAGAAGUAUACAUAGCAGAUAACCUUGAAUUAUAAUUAUAUAGGAUUUUGAUAAUCACUCCUACCCCUAACUAACCUUGUUUGGGUCCAGACAUAUGGCAUCAUUCAUCCCUGUAUUCUUGCAGGCCCUCUUUUAGUGCCCUGCACACUGAAGGUGCUCAAAUAUCUAUGGUGGAAGUAGCAGGAAGAAAGGGGGAGGGAAGGAAGGAGAAAGCAGUGUAAGGAAGGAAGGAGGGAAAGAGGGAGGGAGGAAAUAAGGAAGGAAGGUUUGGCCAUUUGUUCUCCCUCUAUUUUUAGGUUGCAAACUACUUAGUAUUAAUACUCUCUCACUUAUUACUAAAUUUCUUUCACUUUCUUCAAUCAGCAGUAUUUGUCUCAGUUUACAAUGCAGCAUGAGUGUGGGAGAACACUAAAAGCUGAUCUACUGUCGCUAAACACUUAACGGUUUGUUCAUGUAACACUGAUAUACUGAUAACCUACUAUAUGCCCAGCACAGUGCCUGGCCCUGGAAAUAGGAAACCCAACAGGAACUGGCCUCCUGGAGCUAAGCUAAGUGGUUCCCUCCUGGCUCCCUCCUGGAAAGCAGCACGCCCACUGACAGAGCAGUAAGCUUUGUGAUGGUGCUAUUCUGGGCCCUGGAGGAGAACCCCGACAACGGAAAGCAGCAGAGCCCACCCCUCUAAAGAACCCUCAGAUGCAUUUACUCUGCACACUAUGGAGCUGGGAGCCUCUUGAGUACUAUUAGGGAGUUCUGUCCUGGUGAGAACAAUUAGGGGCUUUAACAGAAAUAUUCAAAAGCCAAGCACUGAGAGCCACCAGAUUCAUUUGUUACAUUCACAUUUUCUCCCUUGGCCACACGAAGCUUUGUUUACACAAAAUACUUGAUAUCAUUCUAAGUUUCUCGGUUUUCCAUUUUUACUGCUGUGUUUAGCUCCCCCAGCUGUGUUCCUUCUGAAAUAAAGUUGGCGGAGAGGCUGGGAACAUCACAGUGUUCAUAGCCAGUAUCAUUUCUUCAAAUAGGUAUGAUAGGCAGACAGAAGGCACUGCCAAGACCCAGCCUGAAUAAAAGUAUGUCCUCCACAGUCCCCACCCCACCUUAACAUCUACGAUGAAGUCUACUGAAGAUAUUUUUUUUCCUGGAUCAGAAAAAAAUUAAUGGCUAAUGGCAUAUUUUCUCUAAAUGUCACUAUUAUAAUAUAAGGGCAGCAAACUUUUCCCCCUUAGCAUAGGAUUCAUAUAUUAAACACCUUGACAAAAAUCACACACACACACACACACACACACACACACACACACACACACACACACACACACACACAACUGUAUCUCCUUCCCUUAGUAGCUGUGUGGUGAUUAACUUGGCACAUUUGAUAAAAAUAAUACUGUCUUCAUUAUUCCCAAGUUGGUUUAUUAUUAUCUAUAUAAACAGGGGAACUCUGUCGAUGAAGAAAUGAAAUACGAAAAUCCGUAUUUUCAAAGUAAGAUAAAAUGUGACUAAAAGAUAUUUUGAUAAGACCCCUUUGUGGGGGACUUAGAAAGCAAGAAGAUAACAUGCAACACUGAGAGUAUGAUGACAGUUCUAAAUGCCAGGGAUGUCCAGAGGGGCUGUGCAGGAAGUCAGGAAGAGAGCCAGGCUCCAACGUAGAGCAGAUCCCUGCUAAUGGGAAAGACAACAGUACAGAAAAGGCAAGGAGGCUUCAUCAGUGACCUGGUGCAAAUGAGGUCAAGAACAGUAAACUGUGUAUAAAUUUUGAGUGGGGCA
rnacentral:lncRNA from 1 species